UAGCCAGCAGGUUCGGCGCUACUUGCUCAACAUUACUCGGUGGCUUCGGGGGGCGCCACCGGCGGAGAUCCGGCGAUCCCCAAGGCCUCGAUUUUGUCGGAUCGAGGAGCAUCAUGACGACCCCGGAAACCGGUUGUGUCGUCAAUUGCUCCCGCCAUUGUCAAGUCAGUUUUCUCGAACAAAUACUUCCAACCCUUGUUAGUUGUAUUGACAUGUUAGUACAGGAAUGUGCGUUGAUCACUGAGCAUCAAAUAUUAUGUGCGAGAUAAAUCCUUCCGGUAAGCUCAUCUUUCACUUGUAAGGUUCGGGGUGUACAUGCGAGAUGGGGGAGGUUUAGCCAGCUUUGGACUUUGGGAACAGAAGGGCUGCACCGUCAAAUUGGAGUUUUGUCUGAUCAAACUGUCUGCAUGCAUGUCGUCGUUUGCUUCGCUCCGUUUUCUUAUGAUUGUCCGGCACAGUGUGGUUAAAGCCGUGCUUGCAAAGGUGUGACUGUAAAUUAGUGUUUUGUUUCUUGCAGGUACCUGCUUCGUCAUACCCACCAAAAAUUCCACCAAAGUGAAUUUUAAGAUCUUUCGAGUCAGUGAAAGAGCAAUGGGUUGCUUUUCCCAUCUGGGUCUAUCAUGGGCUGAAGCCCUGCGGCAGAGCAAGAUCGACGUUUUUGCCGGAAGCCGGAAAAUAAUUUCCCGCAGUACCAUGUAAAUAAUGUAAAUUUGUUUGAACCCCGGGCACGGGGUCUUGGUAAAUUAUUAGCUUGUAUGAUAUCUCCAAUGACUUUGUCAAUAAAAGUUCCAUCAUUUCUGACUAAAGAA